rnacentral:tRNA from 1 species
UAGGGUUUAAUUGAUAGAAUUUUUGUUUUGGGAUUCAAAAAUUCUUAACUUAA